rnacentral:rRNA from 1 species
AAUGAACGUUGGCGGCGUGGAUUAGGCAUGCAAGUCGAGCGAGAACCCCGCAAGGGGGUACAGCGGCGAAAGGGACAGUAAUGUGUAGAUUAUCUGCCCUCAGGUCCGGGAUAGCUGCGGGAAACUGCAGGUAAUACCGGAUAACAUCUCCGGAUCAAAGGUGUGAUUCCGCCUGAGGAUGAGUCUGCAUCCUAUUAGCUAGUUGGUGGGGUAAUGGCCUACCAAGGCAUUGAUGGGCAGCAGGUGUGAGAGCACGACCUGCGUCAUUGGGACUGAGACACUGCCCAGACACCUACGGGUGGCUGCAGUCGAGAAUCUUCGGCAAUGGGCGAAAGCCUGACCGAGCGACGCCGCGUGUGGGAUGAAGGCCUUCGGGUUGUAAACCACUGUCAGAGGGGAUGAAAUGCAGGUGGGUUCUCCCAUCUGUUUGACAUAGCCUCAGAGGAAGGACGGGCUAAGUUCGUG